GACGAACGCUGGCGGCGUGCUUAACACAUGCAAGUCGAACGGUAAGGCCCUUUCGGGGGUACACGAGUGGCGAACGGGUGAGUAACACGUGGGUGAUCUGCCCUGCACUUUGGGAUAAGCCUGGGAAACUGGGUCUAAUACCGGAUAGGACUACGCGAUGCAUGUCGUGUGGUGGAAAGCUUUUGCGGUGUGGGAUGGGCCCGCGGCCUAUCAGCUUGUUGGUGGGGUGAUGGCCUACCAAGGCGACGACGGGUAGCCGGCCUGAGAGGGUGUCCGGCCACACUGGGCCUGAGAUACGGCCCAGACUCCUACGGGAGGCAGCAGUGGGGAAUAUUGCACAAUGGGCGCAAGCCUGAUGCAGCGACGCCGCGUGGGGGAUGACGGCCUUCGGGUUGUAAACCCCUUUCAGCACAGACGAAGCGUAAGUGACGGUAUGUGCAGAAGAAGCACCGGCCAACUACGUG
rnacentral:rRNA from 1 species